UACGUGAGGGGCGAACGUUGUUCGGUGUCACUGGGCUUAAAGGGCGCGUAGGUGGUUGCGUAAGUAACGUGUGAAAUCCCUCGGCUUACCCGGGGAAUUGCAUGUUAUACUGCGUGGCUUGAGGAUCAGAGGGGAAUGCGGAACUCCAGGUGUAGCGGUGAAAUGCGCAGAUAUCUGGGGGAAGGCCGGCGGCGAAGGCGGCAUUCUGGCUGAUUCCUGACACUGAGGCGCGAAAGCGUGGGGAGCAAACAGG
rnacentral:rRNA from 1 species